UGUAUAAUGGGUCAGCGACUUAUAUUCUGUAGCAAGGUUAACCGAAUAGGGGAGCCGAAGGGAAACCGAGUCUUAACUGGGCGUUAAGUUGCAGGGUAUAGACCCGAAACCCGGUGAUCUAGCCAUGGGCAGGUUGAAGGUUGGGUAACACUAACUGGAGGACCGAACCGACUAAUGUUGAAAAAUUAGCGGAUGACUUGUGGCUGGGGGUGAAAGGCCAAUCAAACCGGGAGAUAGCUGGUUCUCCCCGAAAGCUAUUUAGGUAGCGCCUCGUGAAUUCAUCUCCGGGGGUAGAGCACUGUUUCGGCAAGGGGGUCAUCCCGACUUACCAACCCGAUGCAAACUGCGAAUACCGGAGAAUGUUAUCACGGGAGACACACGGCGGGUGCUAACGUCCGUCGUGAAGAGGGAAACAACCCAGACCGCCAGCUAAGGUCCCAAAGUCAUGGUUAAGUGGGAAACGAUGUGGGAAGGCCCAGACAGCCAGGAUGUUGGCUUAGAAGCAGCCAUCAUUUAAAGAAAGCGUAAUAGCUCACUGGUCGAGUCGGCCUGCGCGGAAGAUGUAACGGGGCUAAACCAUGCACCGAAGCUGCGGCAGCGACACUAUGUGUUGUUGGGUAGGGGAGCGUUCUGUAAGCCUGUGAAGGUGGCCUGUGAGGGUUGCUGGAGGUAUCAGAAGUGCGAAUGCUGACAUAAGUAACGAUAAAGCGGGUGAAAAGCCCGCUCGCCGGAAGACCAAGGGUUCCUGUCCAACGUUAAUCGGGGCAGGGUGAGUCGACCCCUAAGGCGAGGCCGAAAGGCGUAGUCGAUGGGAAACAGGUUAAUAUUCCUGUACUUGGUGUUACUGCGAAGGGGGGACGGAGAAGGCUAUGUUGGCCGGGCGACGGUUGUC
rnacentral:rRNA from 1 species